AUAUAGAUGGCGCAGUGGUCAGCGCAUCUGCCUAGCAAGCUGAAGAUCUGGGUUCGAAUCCUGCUCUGUACA